GACGAACGCUGGCGGCGUGCUUAACACAUGCAAGUCGAACGGAAAGGCCCUGCUUUUGUGGGGUGCUCGAGUGGCGAACGGGUGAGUAACACGUGAGUAACCUGCCCUUGACUUUGGGAUAACUUCAGGAAACUGGGGCUAAUACCGGAUAGGAGCUCCUGCUGCAUGGGGGGGGUUGGAAAGUUUCGGCGGUUGGGGAUGGACUCGCGGCUUAUCAGCUUGUUGGUGGGGUAGUGGCUUACCAAGGCUUUGACGGGUAGCCGGCCUGAGGGGGUGACCGGCCACAUUGGGCCUGAGAUACGGCCCAGACUCCUACGGGCGGCAGCAGUGGGGAAUAUUGCACAAUGGGCGGAAGCCUGAUGCAGCAACGCCGCGUGCGGGAUGACGGCCUUCGGGUUGUAAGCCGCUUUCGCCUGUGACGAAGCGUGAGUGACGGUAAUGGGUAAAGAAGCACCGGCUAACUACGUG
rnacentral:rRNA from 1 species